GAACAUGUCUUUUUUGUGCAGAUGUGUGGAUAAAAAAAUUGUAAAACCUCGUAAAAACGUACACAAGCUCUCAAAAACGGAAGCUGGAAGAAAUAUCAACGUGCUGCGACAUUAGCGCCAAAGGAAGUUCCUGGAACGACGAGGAGAGUCCGAACGAAAAAUUCAGGAUGACCAACGUUGAAAAAUCAAUUCUCAGUUAUAAAAUAAUGAAUGACAUCAAGAAAUAAUAACAAUAGUGAAAGAAUAAGAGAGGAGAAGGUCUGGGACUGCAAUCAAAUGAUGGCGAAGUUGAUAUAAGAUCAACACAGCUAAUGACACCAACAUACUGAGAGGGGAAGAGAUCUAGAAAAGGCAUUAGUCGCCGACGAAAUAAUCCGCCUAGAGUACACCUUGACAUGAUGGAGGGCUUCAGUACUUGGACGGUUAAUCCUUUAAGAUUUAUUCCGAUAUGCUGCGCGCGAUUCGACAUUCGUGUCGUGUUUCGCGUAAUAGUUCUAUUUCUUAAUUUCAGAAGUACCGUUAAAAGUAAAACGGGCUUCAAUUGUAAAAUUCGGGAGUGCCGUUAAAAGUGUCGCGCGUUCAAGUGCGAGAGUGCCGUUAAAAGUAUCGUGCGUACAAGUGCGGGAGUGCCGUUAAAAGUGUCGCGCGUGUUAAUUAACGGUGCACUUUGACACGCUGAGAGGAGGAGGAGGCCUUGGAGAGGCAUCGGGCACCGGCAGAGCAACCCUAGGAAUUCCAGCGUUGAGCUGUCGACUCUUACAACCUGAGAGGAUGAGAAAACAUCGGGCAUCAGCGGAGCAACCUUAGGACAACAUAGCUUCAAUAUCAACAACUCCGCUGUUGCGCAUCGGUGUCGGUGAGUGAUAAAUUUUUAUUUAAUAAU